GGGUCCUUAGCUUAAUUGGUUGAGUGCCUAGGCGUCACCUAGGAAGGUACCAGUUCGAAUCUGGUAGGACUCG